rnacentral:rRNA from 1 species
UUGCUCCUUGAUUCAGCGGCGGACGGGUGAGUAAUGCCUAGGAAUCUGCCUGGUAGUGGGGGACAACGUUUCGAAAGGAACGCUAAUACCGCAUACGUCCUACGGGAGAAAGCAGGGGACCUUCGGGCCUUGCGCUAUCAGAUGAGCCUAGGUCGGAUUAGCUAGUAGGUGAGGUAAUGGCUCACCUAGGCGACGAUCCGUAACUGGUCUGAGAGGAUGAUCAGUCACACUGGAACUGAGACACGGUCCAGACUCCUACGGGAGGCAGCAGUGGGGAAUAUUGGACAAUGGGCGAAAGCCUGAUCCAGCCAUGCCGCGUGUGUGAAGAAGGUCUUCGGAUUGUAAAGCACUUUAAGUUGGGAGGAAGGGCAGUAAGCUAAUACCUUGCUGUUUUGACGUUACCGACAGAAUAAGCACCGGCUAACUCUGUGCCAGCAGCCGCGGUAAUACAGAGGGUGCAAGCGUUAAUCGGAAUUACUGGGCGUAAAGCGCGCGUAGGUGGUUCGUUAAGUUGGAUGUGAAAGCCCCGGGCUCAACCUGGGAACUGCAUCCAAAACUGGCGAGCUAGAGUAUGGUAGAG